CCCAGUAAACAUCAAGCGCAAGGCAGGAACAAUCUCCUGAUGAGGAUUCAGCUAAUUGCUAACAGGUCCCCAGACUGCAAUUGUGAACCACUGGAAGAUGAGAAGGACACCAGUCAGCCAAAUAAAAUGAACAUAGAAUGUCCAUCAACAGUCCUAACCAAACUGGAAUCACACCAAAAAGCCGUCACGUAUAACAAAGUAAGAACAAUACUGAAUAGCUUGUGUGUUGGAUGAGAAAAUGAGAAACAUACAAAACAUAUAAUCUACCAAAAUCCCUGAAGCGAUUCACAGAUAUUAUUGGUCAUCCAAUAUGAUCACACCUGACAUCCUUUAUUAUUUGCCAUGUAAUAUCUAGCAGAUAGUAAAAGACCGUCCAUUAGAGGAUGAUGAUUAGUAUUUUAGACAGAAGAUAUCAAGGCCCUAGCUACUAAAGUUAAAGAAAAUGGUGGAUAUCCAUGCCUCCUGUCUUGAUUCGACCACUCCUGGUGACCAUAGUUUCACCUAGUUUGCUGACGCCAGGUGAUAUCAAUCACUCAACCCGCACAUAUUUUGACUUCACCUCUUUUGUCUCUCAUUAAGUCGAUGCCUUUAUUAUUCCUGAUCCUUGUUUUUUGCUUAUUGUUCAUGUUUUGGAUUUAUCAUUUUUCUGUUAGUUUUGCCCACAUUCUGUUUAGCCUGGUUUUUGAUCAGUUUUUCUCCUGCUCUGUUUCAAAUUUUUUUAUGAUUGAGAUGCAUUCAAGAUGUUGUUUUUUAUUUGGCUAUGUCUGUUUCCUCUAGCUAUCCAUUUGUAAACAAUAGUGCUAGAACGUCUCACCUUAAAGGAGCCUUCUGUGGCCAUGUAUGGCCAUUUUCUUAGCGUGUGGUGGCAUGAUAUUGGAUGAGUAGAGUUGGGCAGCGUGAUGAAACCUUAUUCACAUUCCAAACUCAGUCUUUGCUCAUAACAUUCUCAAACCCACUUAAUCCAACUUAGUCUCGCGAGAGGAGGCCUAUGCCAGCAAGGACUACUUUGGACAGGGUGCAAGUCUGUCCUAUGGCAACAUCAUGCAUUGGCUCACUUAGGGCAGGUUUAGAGUCACCAGUUAAGCUAUUGUUUAAGUCUUUGGAAUGUUGGGAGCAAAACCUACAUGGACACAGUGCAAACAUCACACAGGUAGCAACUGGGCACUAGAACUAUAAAACAACUAUCACUCAUUAGUUAGUUCAUCCACCCAUCUAUACCUUCCUUCUAUGCCUGCUACUCUGGAGUAGGGUGUCAGGGAAAGAGGAUUUGGCCCAAAAUUGGUUUUGGUUUUAUCAGAUGUUAUUAAAUUGUCUUAAAUCUACUUUAUUCACUACUUUAAGUCAUUGGUCAAUAUGACUGAAAUAAUUUUGUCUUGGGGUGAAAUUGCUUUGUAUUGUUACGAUACUACUUUAAAAACAGAUGUCUAACCAGCAGAAUACUCACCACGGAGAGGAGUUUGUAACUUAAGUGAUCCAUUUAUGCUGUAAUUUAUUUUAUAUGCAUAUACUUUUUUAUAUACUUUGUGUCUGACAAUGUCUGUUCAUAAUAAAUUUCUUUUUUAAAAAUCUCA